rnacentral:rRNA from 1 species
AGACUUGAGUGCAGAAGAGGGAAAGUGGAAUUCCAUGCGUAGCGGUGAAAUGCGUAGAGAUAUGGAGGAACCAGUAGGCAGAGGCGACUUUUCUGGUCUGUAACUGACAAUUGAGGCGCGAAAAGCGGGGGGGAAGCAAACAGGAUUAGAUACCCUGGUAGUCCCACGCCGUAAACGAUGAGUGCUAAGUGUUAGAGGGUUUCCGCCCUUUAGUGCUGAAAGUUAAACGCAUUAAAGCACUCCGCCUGGGGAGUACGGCCGCAAGGCUGAAACUCAAAGGAAUUGACGGGGGCCCGCACAAGCGGUGGAGCAUGUGGUUUAAUUCGAAGCAACGCGAAGAACCUUACCAG